UAGAAAAGCUGUGUGGAUUUCUGAGGUGCCCGUACCGCAAACCGACACAGGUAGGUAGGAAGAAGAUUCUAAGGCCAACGGGAGAAGGGUUGUUAAGGAACUCGGCAAAUUGACCCCGUAACUUCGGGAGAAGGGGUGCUCCAGAGAUGGAGCCGCAGAGAAUCGGCCCAAGCAACUGUUUACCAAAAACACAGGUUUGCGCUAAAUCGAAAGAUGACGUAUACGAGCUGACGCCUGCCCGGUGCUGGAAGGUUAAGAGGAGAUGUGCAAGCAUUGAAUCGAAGCCCCAGUGAACGGCGGCCGUAACAAUAACGGUCCUAAGGUAGCGAAAUUCCUUGUCAGGUAAGUUCUGACCCGCAUGAAAGGCGUAAUGAUUUGGGCACUGUCUCAACAGCCCGCCCGGCGAAAUUGUAGUACCGGUGAAGAUGCCGGUUACCCGCGACAAGACGGAAAGACCCCAUGGAGCUUUACUGUAGCCUAAUAUUGGGUUUCGAUGUUGCAUGCACAGGAUAGAUGGGACUCUGGGAAACCAGUGCUUUGGCGCUGGCGGAGAGGCCGUUGGGAUACCAUCCUUGCGAUAUUGGAAUUCUAACCUGCGGCUCUGAAUCGAGUCGGGGGACAUUGUUAGGUGGGCAGUUUGACUGGGGCGGUCGCCUCCUAGAAAGUAACGGAGGCGUUCAAAGGUUCGCUCAGCUUGAACGGAAAUCAAGCAAAAGAGUGCAAACGCAGAAGCGAGCCUAACUGCGAGACUGACGGGUCGAGCAGUAACGAAAGUUGGAGUUAGUGAUCCGGUGGUAUGUGAGUGGAAAUGCCAUCGCUCAACGGAUAAAAGUUACCCUGGGGAUAACAGGCUGAUCUCCCCCAAGAGUCCACAUCGACGGGGAGGUUUGGCACCUCGAUGUCGGCUCAUCGCAUCCUGGGGCUGUAUUCGGUCCCAAGGGUUUGGCUGUUCGCCAAUUAAAGCGGUACGCGAGCUGGGUUCAGAACGUCGUGAGACAGUUCGGUCCCUAUCUGUCGUGGGCGCAGGAUAUUUGAUGGGAGCUGUCCCUAGUACGAGAGGACCGGGACGGACGUACCUCUGGCGCACCAGUUGUUCUGCCAAGAGCAUAGCUGGGCAACUACGUACGGAUCGGAUAAACGCUGAAAGCAUCUAAGCGUGAAGCCGACCCAAAGAUAAGAUAUCCCACUGUUUCAAACAGGUAAGAUCCCUUGAAGACUACAAGGUUGAUAGGCACGAUGUGUAAGUGGAGUGAUCCAUUCAGCAAGCGUGUACUAAUAGAUCGAGGGCUUGAUCA
rnacentral:rRNA from 1 species